CUGCAUUUUUUGGCCCUGGGCCAUUGUUGGCCUCUCUGUGUUUCUGUAGAGUGGACAAGUACAAACAUGCUAGAUUAACAGUUGGGAGUUAACAGGGCCACCAGUCUCUCAAGGUCAGACUGAGUUGGUAGUAUAAAACUCCAACACUC